rnacentral:tmRNA from 1 species
GGGGGCGACAUGGCUUCGACGUGGGUAGCGAAACCUUAAGUGCAUGCCGAGGACUGUACACCUCGUAAAACCUACAGAAAAAAAAUAUUCGCAAAUGACGAAAACUACUCAAUGGCUUUAGCUGCUUAAAAACAGCGCCAUUCCUUUGACUAUCUGUGCUUAUGCGGAUAGAGCUCUUCGUGGCAUUCAGAGGUCAUAUUACAUAAGAUUGCGCUGAAAUCCGUCCGGUGUGGAUGCGCUAAAACCUUACGGAAGCGCUGAUGAUUUUCUUGGCCCGACGGGUAGUCAUUAACUAAAUCAAAAGCGCGGGAUAAGCAUGUAGACCUUAUGGCGGAGUACUUGAGGACGCGGGUUCAAUUCCAGCCGCCUCCACCA